GGCUUGUUGAUUAUAAUUUCAAGUCUGACCUGCCCAGUGAGGAGUUUAACGGCCGCGGUAUACUGACCGUGCAAAGGUAGCAUAAUCAUUAGUUUUUUAAUUGAAAGCUUGAAUAAAAGGUUUGAUGAAAAAAAUUCUGUCUCUGUAAAAAUUUAUUAGAAUUUUAUUUUUAAGUAAAAAAGCUUAAAUAUCAAUAGAAGACGAGAAGACCCUAUAGAAUUUUAUUUUCUGCUUGUAGUAAAAUUUAAAGUAAGUAAAAUUUUAUUAUUUGUCGGAGUAUUUUGUUGGGGUGAUAGAAAAACUAAAUUAACUUUUUUUAAAUUAAUACAUUAAUUUGUGAUUAAAUGAUCCUAAAAUUUAGAUUAUAAGACUAAAUUACCUUAGGGAUAACAGCGUAAUUUUUCCUAGAGUUCUUAUUGAAAGAAAAGAUUGCGACCUCGAUGUUGGAUUAAAAUUAAUUAUUGGUGUAGAAGCUAAUAUAAUUAGGUCUGUUCGACCUUUAAAAUUUUACAUGAUCUGAGUUUAAACCGGUGUGAG
rnacentral:rRNA from 1 species